rnacentral:rRNA from 1 species
GACGAACGCUGGCGGCGUGCCUAAUACAUGCAAGUAGAACGCUGAAGAGAGGAGCUUGCUCUUCUUGGAUGAGUUGCGAACGGGUGAGUAACGCGUAGGUAACCUGCCUGGUAGCGGGGGAUAACUAUUGGAAACGAUAGCUAAUACCGCAUAAAAUUGAUUAUUGCAUGAUAAUUAAUUGAAAGAUGCAAUUGCAUCACUACCAGAUGGACCUGCGUUGUAUUAGCUAGUUGGUGAGGUAACGGCUCACCAAGGCGACGAUACAUAGCCGACCUGAGAGGGUGAUCGGCCACACUGGGACUGAGACACGGCCCAGACUCCUACGGGAGGCAGCAGUAGGGAAUCUUCGGCAAUGGGGGGAACCCUGACCGAGCAACGCCGCGUGAGUGAAGAAGGUUUUCGGAUCGUAAAGCUCUGUUGUAAGAGAAGAACGGGUGUGAGAGUGGAAAGUUCACACUGUGACGGUAUCUACCAGAA